GAUCAUGGCUCAGGACGAACGCUGGCGGCGCGCCUAACACAUGCAAGUCGAACGGAGAUUACAGGCGGAAGUUUUCGGAUGGAAGCUUGUAAACUUAGUGGCGGACGGGUGAGUAACACGUGAGCAACCUGCCUAUCAGGAGGGGGAUAACGAUUGGAAACGAUCGCUAAUACCGCAUGACAUAGCGGAACCGCAUGGUUCUGUUAUCAAAGUAUUUUAUCGCUGAUAGAUGGGCUCGCG
rnacentral:rRNA from 1 species